UGAAUCACUAUAUUGUACACCUAAAACUAAUGGAACGCUGUAUGUUAACUAUAAUGGAGUUACAAUUUAAAAAAAAUGAACUUAUGACUCAAUUUGGGCUAAGGGAAUCCAGGUGGAAAUGAUUAACUCACUUCUAGGCAUGCUUAUGCCUUGUGAUUAAUUCUCCAUUUGUUCAACCUAUCUGUUGGAUGGACAGAGAAAACAUUGAAGUCCCAGAAGAAGGCUGAGCCACACCAUGGAAAGAACUAAUCUCUGAAUGACUAUGGGAAUAGAGGCCCUCACUGCUCUGAAAGACUUCUGGAACACUACAGUUUGGAUACAAGACCUAGAACAAGUAAAUAGAAUUAUGCCGAUUACAGUCAUGGAAUUUUAGUGUUCUAUGAAGUCAACAAAGUCAGAAAUUAUGAGCAUGUUCUUUGCUCCUAAGAGUAUGAUCAAAAUCAUUUGUGCACCUCAGAUUUGUGAAACCUCCGAGGUAAACUCAAGAACUAUUAAUGGAACAGACUGAGCACAAUGAAGGAAGAAAACAGUCCUGAAAGAAAGUAAAAAUCUAGAAAACUUAUUCAAUACUGCCUAACAGAGCAACUACUGUUUCCCUUGAGCCUCCCUCUUGGAUCACUCAUUCUCAGGGAAAUCAGCCACCAUUUUCUGAGCUGCUUUACAGAGAAGCCCAGGAGGUAAAGAGCUGGGGGGACUACAGUCCAGCAGCCAGCAAGGAAAUGAAGCCUGCCAACAACCAGGCAAGUGAGCUUUGAAGUGGAUUCUCUGGUCCUAAUACAGCCUUCAGAUGAGAGCGGGCCACGCCAACUGUACUCUUGUGAGAGACGCUGAGCAAGGACCACCCAGAUGCCCACUCCCAGACUCCAAGCCCUCAGAAUCUGUGAGAUAAUAAACGUUGUUUUAACCUGCCACCUUGAGGAAAACGAAUAUAGACACAAAGAGCACAGAGUGUGGGGACAUAACAUGCUGCUUUAUCUCUCAGAACUUUAUCUUCCCAUUCUUAAAACCAGGUCUUACUUAACUAUAUUUUAGAGAGAAGUGCAAAAUAUAGAAAAAUAAUGUUUAACUCUAUCAAGUACGCGGUACUAUACGAAACGUAUAGGGUCAUAUAGGAUACAUGGCACAUAUUAUAAUUUUACCAUUUUGAGUACUAUUUCAAAUAUGUCUUUUAUGUUAAACUCUUUAAAAGAAAAGAAAUAAAAAAUUAAAAUAACUCCUCUAUAUCUCUACACAACAGCUUUCCCCAACCAGGGUUUAACUUGGAUAAUUUUAAUAGAUCUUUCCAACCUGUAUAAAACUCAGAUAAGCCAAGAAAGAGCUAUUAAUCUAGACACAGAAUGUAACACAUCUCCAUACCAUAAUAAAGCAUGAGACAUUUUAAGUCUAAAAUUGAAAGGGAAAGUGUUAAGUCAUAAUAUUUUUAGCCUCAGAAUUUCUAAUACCACGGUUAGCGUUUUUAUUGUGUAGGUGAUUAAUCUGACCAGGAACAGUACCCUCUUCUCCCUUUCUUCCCAAGUAAUGCUGAGAGUGACCUUUGUUAUCUGCUAGAUUCUAACUGAUUUUGAACAGGUAGGUGGGAAAAAAAAAAUAUGUGUUUUAUUAUGAACAAAGCAACCUAACCCUAUUUUGGUAGUGAAAACUCAAAAUAAUGACAUAUUAGGAACAUUUUUAAAGCUGUAAUGGCGAGCUUAAGCCCUCAUGCUAGUAUUUUCAGUAAUGGAAACAGAGGGUUUUUGUUUUGGAUUCCUCCUGAAAACCUGGACCUUUAACCAAUCUGAACAGAAUUUUGCAAUGUGCACUCAUUCAGAACUCACUCAAACAUCUGAAGAAGAUUCUGCUUGAUUCUAAGAGAGAAAAAAACCGUCCCCACCUUCCUCCCAUUACCUCCGACACAUGGUGAGUUCUGUUCAAAGCACACACCAACAAAAUGGACUUUUGUUCAGAAAGUACAAUCUUCCUAUGUAUAUUUUUUUGUCACUGGCUGAAUAAGAUCAUUGAAAUACAUACUUUGAUUCCUUUUGUGCGAUAUGAUAUAUUUUUUAAUCUUUUUAAUGUUUAUUUAUUUUUGAGAGACAGAGACAGAGUGCA